CCACAAUGGACGAAAGUCUGAUGGAGCAACGCCGCGUGAGUGAAGAAGGGUUUCGGCUCGUAAAGCUCUGUUUGGUAGUGAAGAAAGAUAGAGGUAUAACUGGCCUUUAUUUGACGGUAAUUACUUAGAAAGUCACGGCUAACUACGUGCC
rnacentral:rRNA from 1 species